rnacentral:tRNA from 1 species
UGCCUUGUGGUGUAAUGGUAGCACUAGUGACUCUGGAUCACUCAGUUUAGGUUCGAAUCCUAACGAGGCAG